GCCCCGGUCGUCUAGCCCGGUCAAGGAUAUCGGCCUUUCGAGCCGAGGAUCCCGGGUUCAAAUCCCGGCCGGGGCACCA
rnacentral:tRNA from 1 species